rnacentral:rRNA from 1 species
AAGGGAGCAAUCCUAAGUAAAGUGGCGCACGGGUGAGUAACACGUGGAUCAUCUACCUUUUAGUGGGGAAUACCUCUGGGAAACCGGAGACAAUACCGCAUAAGCCUGUAAAGGGAAAGCAGCAAUGCGCUGAAAGAGGAGUCCGCGGCCGAUUAGCUAGUUGGCGGGGUAAUGGCCCACCAAGGCGAAGAUCGGUAGCCGGCCUGAGAGGGCACACGGCCACACUGGCACUGAAACACGGGCCAGACUCCUACGGGAGGCAGCAGUGGGGAAUCUUGCACAAUGGGCGAAAGCCUGAUGCAGCGACGCCGCGUGAGCGAUGAAGCCCUUCGGGGUGUAAAGCUCUUUCGACGGGAACGAUAAUGACGGUACCCGGAGAAGAAGCUGCGGCUAACUACGUGCCAGCAGCCGCGGUAAUACGUAGGCAGCGAGCGUUGUUCGGAAUUACUGGGCGUAAAGAGUGUGUAGGCGGUGUUCCCAGUCUGUUGUGAAAUCUCCCGGCUUAACUGGGAGGGUGCAGCGGAAACUAGAAUGCUAGAGGGUGGGAGAGGUAAGCGGAAUUCCUGGUGUAGCGGUGAAAUGCGUAGAUAUCAGGAGGAACACCUGUGGUGUAGACAGCUUACUGGACCACUUCUGACGCUGAGACACGAGAGCGUGGGUAGCAAACAGGAUUAGAUACCCUGGUAGUCCACGCCCUAAACGAUGCAUACUUGGUGUGAGCGAUUCAUU